CCAGAAUCCAACCAUCGCCGUUAAUUAUAACCACCAAAAAAGUGCUCCGACAGAGUGAGGGCAGUAUGCCGUGAAAAAAUAUGACACAGAAAUGCUGAGAAUUACCUUUCCUGCCGCUGCCAUGGCCGAGCUCCCCAGUUCCCUCUUUCCGAAGCGACUUCUCAAGCUACUCAAAGCCGAGAAGAAUACUCUAUCCGCACUGUCCCUGUUCGACUCGGCUACACGCCAACCGGGUUACACCCACUCUCCUCAUGUAUUCCACCACAUUCUUCGUCGACUCGCCGAUUCAAGACUUGUUGUCCAUGUAUCUCGGAUCGUCGAACUCAUUGAAACCCAGAAAUGCCAAUGCACAGAAGAUGUUGCUUUAACAGUGAUCAAAGCAUAUGCAAAGAGCAAAAUGGUAAACGAAGCUUUAGAUACGUUUCAACGAAUGGAGGAGAUUUUUGGUUGCAAGCCUGGCAUAAAAUCGUAUAAUUCUUUGCUUAAUGCUUUUAUUGAGAUCAAUCAGUGGGAGAGGGCUGAGUCUUUUUUUGCUUACUUUACAACUAUUGGUGUAUCGCCAAAUUUGCAGACUUAUAAUAUUUUGCUCAAGAUAUCGUGUAAGACUAAGCAAUUUAAAAAGGCAAGAGGGUUGUUGGAUUGUAUGUGGAAUAAGGAUUUAACGCCCGAUGUAUAUAGUUAUGGCACCGUUAUCAAUGGGAUGGUGAAAGGGGGCGAUCUAUCAGGGGCAUUGGAGGUGUUUGAUGAAAUGUUCACAGGAGGUGUGAUUCCUGAUGUGACGUGUUACAAUAUAAUGAUUGAUGGUUUUCUGAAGAAAGGGGAUUAUGAUAACGCUAUGGAUAUUUGGCAGAGGUUAGUGAAGGGGUCUUCGGUUUUUCCAAAUGUGGUUACUUAUAAUAUCAUGAUUAAUGGGUUGUGCAAGUGUGGGAGGUUUGAUGAGAGUUUGCAGAUAUGGGAUAGGAUGAAGAAGAAUGAGCGUGAAAAGGAUGUGUUUACAUAUAGCAGUUUGAUACAUGGUUUAUGUGAAGCAGGGAAUAUUGAUGGAGCUUUGAAAGUUUAUAGAGAGAUGAUUGAAAGUGGUGUGGUGGUUGAUGUUGUUACUUAUAAUGCAAUGCUUAAUGGAUUUUGUCGAGCAGGGAAGAUUAAGGAGGGUUUUGAGUUGUGGGUGGUAAUGGGAAAAGAGAAUUGUCGGAAUGUUGUUAGUUAUAACAUUUUCAUCAAAGGGUUGUUUGAGAAUGGAAAGGUAGAAGAAGCAAUUUCUGUUUGGGAACUCUUGCGUAAGAAGGGUUGUGGGUCCAAUUCCACGGCUUAUGGUAUUGUAAUUCAUGGUCUCUGCAAGAAUGGACGUUUGAAUAAGGCUUUAAAGAUAUUAAAGGAGGCUGAAGAUGGACGAGCUGAGCUGGAUGCUUUUGCAUAUUCUUCAAUGGUUGAUGGGUUGUGCAAAGAAGGGAGAAUAGAGGAAGCAACCAACAUAGUCAUUCAGAUGGAUAAAUAUGCCUAUAAGCUGGAUCCUCAUGUUUGUAAUCCCUUGAUUAAUGGGCUUAUUCAAGCUUCCAAACUUCAGGAGGCAAUAUUCUUUUUUAGGGCAAUUGAGUGUAAGGGUUUUUCUCCUACUAUUGUCUCCUAUAACACGCUUAUAAAUGGUUUAUGCAAAGCAGAAAGAUUCAGUGAGGCAUAUUUUUUUGUUGAGGAGAUGCUAGAGAAAGAAUGGAAGCCAGACAUGAUCACAUAUAGCUUGCUGAUGAAUGGCCUUUGUCAAGGAAGGAAGAUUGAAAAGGCCAUCAGCUUGUGGCACCAGGCUCUUGACAGAGGUUUUAAGCCUGAUGUAACUAUGCACAACAUUUUGAUGCAUGGGCUUUGCUCCGUUGGCAAAAUUGAAGAGGCUAUGCAGCUUUAUUCAGAUAUGAAAUUAUUAAACUGUGUUCCCAAUCUUGUGACGCACAAUACCCUCAUGGAGGGGCUUUAUAAAGUCAGGAACUGUGAGAAAGCAUCAGAGAUUUGGGAUAGCAUUUUGGAAGAUGGGCUACAGCCAGAUAUUAUCUCCUAUAAUAUUACCAUUAAGGGACUUUGUUCUUGCAGUAGAAUAUCAGAUGCCGUUGGGUUUUUGAAUGAUGCUUUGAAUCGAGGAAUACUUCCAACUGCUGUUACAUGGGACAUCCUUGUUAGAGCCGUAGUUAAUUUUGGGACCUCCUAAAUCCAGAUAUUUUAGGGUUUCAUUUAUCUUCGAAGAUUGUGCAACUUUAUGCUGAAACUAGUCCUGAUGGAAGUGUGAUGGGUGAUAAAAAAAACAUGCAAUUCUUUCAAACUAAUUUUGAAUGUUCACACCUUGUAUACCACCUUGAACUUACUUUGGCAGAUGGUGACCGCUGAACCAAGUGAUCAACCCACUAAAAUUGCUCCAAGAACUGCAACUUUCCGCCAAUCAGGGGAAGAGUAAAUGAAAGAAUCAGCAAUAGCCAUGACCGGCACUGCCAUUAGAGCAAGGUAUAUGUUCUUUUUGGCAUUGGACCCAGUUUUUGCUUUAGUAAGAUCUUUAAUCCUCUCUGUUUCCACCGUAGCUUUGGCUUUAUCAAUAGGUGCUUUUUGGCCUAGGUUCUUAAAGAACAUUCCUUCAUUCCAGUCUUUAACCAUUUGACCUUCAAUAUCUGCUAACUUAUUUUCGUUUUCCUCUAUUUCUAUUCUGUUUAAUUCUGCAGAUUCUUCAAAAGCUUGCAUGGCUUUCCAUAUUCUCCAUUAUCUGCUAAUAAAAAAGAAUGAAUAAUGAGUGGAUUAUCAAGAGAAUUGCUUCUCUAUGCAUUGUAUGAUUGUCAUAGACAAUAAAGGAAUUCAACAGACCCUGGCACCAGCUUCGUCGAGUCCUUUGAGAGCAUCUUCUCCAAUUCUAUCGAAUUCAGCAUUGGCUUCUUCGGCAAAUGAGUUAGAUAAGCAGAUCUCUCAUCCAAGUAAUCAGUGAGACGAACUUUUUGUGCUUGAAGCAUAGCUAUUCUGGCAAGUAGCUCUUGCUUUCGAGUAUCACCUUCAGGUGGGGAGGGGGAGCUCUCAGAAUCAGCAUCAUUGGACUUGCAAAGGCAGAGGAUUGAAUUCUUUAGGUUGGUUGGUCUUCCAGUGUGGAAAAGGGCUUGCUUUGUAGGCGUGAAGAAGGCGUUAAUGGCUUUUAGGGCGAUCAUCUUCUUCUUUCCACAGAGAUAGCAAGAAGCAGAGGAGAGUGGGGUUGGAAUUUUUUGUGGACCUGUGAGGCUGUGACGUGUUUUGAACCUUUCAUUUGGUAGACCUUAUCCGUUGCAAUCACUGAAAUCUUAAAUUUUCAUAGUUAAUACAAGUUUCAAUUAAAUUAUUGUGCAAUCAACUAUUGUUGAACUGAAAUCUAUUUUGACCGUGACCGUUGCAACUUGCAAC
rnacentral:misc_RNA from 1 species